AGCCUGAACGCUGGCGGCGUGGCUAAGACAUGCAAGUCGAACGGUGUAGCAAUACACAGUGGCGAACGGGUGAGUAAUGUAUCGCUAACGUACCCUUAUGUCAGGGAUAGCCGGGGGAAACUCCGGGUAAUACCUGAUGAAAUUCCUUUUUCGCAUGGAAAAGGACUCAAAGGAGCAAUCCGCAAAAGGAGCGGGCGAUAUCGUAUCAGCUAGUUGGUGAGGUAACGGCUCACCAAGGCGACGACGCGUAGCCGGGCUGAGAGGUCGGCCGGCCACAUUGGGACUGAGACACUGCCCAGACUCCUACGGGGGCUGCAGUAACGAAUCUUCCGCAAUGCACGCAAGUGUGACGGAGCGACGCCGCGUGUGGGACGAAGUCCUUCGGGAUGUAAACCACUGUCAGGGGUAAGAAAGUUCUGAUCUACCCAGAGGAAGGCACGGCUAACUCUGUGCCAGCAGCCGC
rnacentral:rRNA from 1 species